AACAUACACGCCAUGUGCCUGAACAGGAAAAGCAGAGGGGUUCUUGAUUUCCAGAUGCCAAGACGUACCAUCUCUGCUUCCUUGUAGGAUUUCUUGUCUGCUGUGGAGGAUGCAGAAAACCAGUUUGCUGGCUCACUGCCUAUGAAUACUGGGCGCCUGAGACCUGUCUCUUCUAGGCCACAGGAGACUGUGCAGGCACAGUCCUCCAGGCUGCUGCCGUUACACCCCACUGCUCCCUCAGAGGCUUUGGGCCUGCCAGACGUGGACCUCUGCCUCCCUGCCUCCAGCACGCCCAGUGCCGACAGCCGUCCAUCAUGCAUAGGAACAGCUCCACUAAGGCCUGUGUCUACUUCCAGCAGCUGGAUUGGCAAUCAGAGAAGAGUGACAGUGACAGAAUUGCUCAGAGAGCCAGCAAGACCUCAGUCCUCAGCCUUAUACCCCCUACUCACCUUUGAGAGCCAACAGCAGCAAGUUGGUGACUUUGAGGGGCCUGAACAAGACGAAUUUGAUAAAGUCCUGGCAAGCAUGGAGUUGGAGGAGCCUGGCGUGGAGCUGGAAUGUGGAGUCAGCAGUGAGGCCACACCAAUCCUGCCUGCCCAGCAGCGGGAGAGUUCAGUAUUGGCUAAAAAGGCCCGGGUAGUUGAUCUGAGUGGAUCUUGCCAGAAGAGGCCCGUGCCUGCCCCCCACAAAGCGGGUAUCAUGUCAGCCCAGGAUAAGUCUCUAGAUCCUGUCAUCCAAUGUAGGACUCCGCGACCCCCCUUGAGACCUGGUGCUGUGGGUCACCUUCCUGUUCCAACUGCCUUAACAGUUCCCACUCAGCAACCCCACUGGGAAGUCAGUCCACAACGCUCCCCUGUUCAAGCACUUCAGCCUCUCCAAGCUGCUACAGGGACCAUUCAGAGCAGCCCUCAAAAUCGUUUCCCUUGUCAGCCAUUCCAGUCUCCAAGUUCCUGGUUAAGUGGCAAAGCUCAUUUACCCAGACCUCGAACUCCCAACUCAAGCUGUUCUACUCCCUCAAGGACUAGCUCUGGAUUAUUUCCUCGGAUACCCUUACAACCCCAAGCUCCAGUGUCUUCCACUGGGUCUCCUGUUGGUACCCCAAAAGGUCCCCAUUCCUCCCUGGGUCCCCAGGGAGCUCUGCAGACACCCAUAGUCACCAACCACCUGGUGCAGCUGGUCACUGCUGCCAGCCGGACACCCCAGCAGCCCACCCACCCCUCCACUCGAGCCAAAACUCGCCGUUUCCCUGGCCCAGCUGGGAUCCUGCCUCACCAGAUUGUUGCUAGUUCCCAGGCAUCUGUGGAGGAGGAUUUUGGGCGAGGGCCCUGGCUGACCAUGAAAUCCGCGCUAGGCCUGGAUGAGAGAGACCCUAGCUGCUUCCUCUGUACCUACAGCAUUGUCAUGGU
rnacentral:sRNA from 1 species